rnacentral:rRNA from 1 species
UACGGGGGGAGCAAGCGUUGUUCGGAUUUACUGGGCGUAAAGGGCGGGUAGGCGGCCACCGCAAGUCGACUGUGAAAUCUCCGGGCUUAACCCGGAAAGGUCAGCCGAUACUGCGGGGCUAGAGUGCAGAAGGGGCAACUGGAAUUCUCGGUGUAGCGGUGAAAUGCGUAGAUAUCGAGAGGAACACCUGCGGCGAAGGCGGGUUGCUGGGCUGACACUGACGCUGAACUGCGAAAGCUAGGGGAGCGAAAGGG